GUCUUUUUGAUAAAAUAAAAAGUCGGGCCUGCCCAAUGAAUAUUUUAAUGGCUGCAGUAUUUUGACUGUACAAAGGUAGCAUAAUCAAUAGUUUAUUAAUUAUAAACUGGAAUGAAGGGUUUGACGAAAAUUUUUCUGUCUCUUAAUAAUUUAUUGAAUUUUAUUUUUAAGUAAAAAAGCUUAAAUUUUUUUAAAAGACGAGAAGACCCUAUAGAGUUUUAUAUAAUUAAAAUUAAUAAAUUAUUUUUAUUUUUAGUUAUAUUUUAUUGGGGUGAUAGAAAAAUUUAAUUAACUUUUUCUUUUAUUUUAUAUUUAUUUAUAAAUUUUUGAUCUUGAUUUAUGAUUAAAAGAUUAAAUUACCUUAGGGAUAACAGCGUUAUUUAUCUAGAGAGUUCAUAUUGAUAGAUAAGUUUGCGAAGUUCAUAUUGAUAGAUAAGUUUGCGAUAUUUAUCUAGAGAGUUCAUAUUGAUAGAUAAGUUUGCGAAGUUCAUAUUGAUAGAUAAGUUUGCGA
rnacentral:rRNA from 1 species